CACGUAGGGGGCGAGCGUUGUCCGGAUUUAUUGGGCGUAAAGAGCUCGUAGGUGGCUCGGUAAGUCGGGUGUGAAAUUUCGAGGCUCAACCUCGAAACGCCACCUGAUACUGCUGUGGCUAGAGUCCGGUAGGGGAGCGUGGAAUUCCUGGUGUAGCGGUGAAAUGCGCAGAUAUCAGGAGGAACACCAGCGGCGAAGGCGGCGCUCUGGGCCGGUACUGACACUGAGGAGCGAAAGCGUGGGGAUCAAACAGG
rnacentral:rRNA from 1 species